rnacentral:rRNA from 2 species
GUCUGGUGCCAGCAGCCGCGGUAAUCCCAGCUCCAAUAGCGUAUAUUGAAGUUGUUGCAGUUAAAAAGCUCGUAGUUGAACCUUGGGCCUGGCUGGCCGGUCCGUCUCAUCGCGUGUACUGGUCCGGCUGGGUCUUUCCUUCUGGCUAGGCACAUGCCCUUUACUGGGUGUGUGUCCGAACCAGGACUUUUACUUUGAAAAAAUUAGAGUGUUCAAAGCAGGCAUAUGCUCGAAUACAUUAGCAUGGAAUAAUAGAAUAGGACGUGUGGUUCUAUUUUGUUGGUUUCUAGGACCGCCGUAAUGAUUAAUAGGGAUAGUCGGGGGCAUCAGUAUUCAAUUGUCAGAGGUGAAAUUCUUGGAUUAAUUGAAGACUAACUACUGCGAAAGCAUUUGCCAAGGAUGUUUUCAUUAAUCAGUGAACGAAAGUUAGGGGAUCGAAGACGAUCAGAUACCGUCGUAGUCUUAACCAUAAACUAUGCCGACUAGGGAUCGGACGGGCUUCUUUUUUGACCCGUUCGGCGCCUUACGGGAAA